GAUGAACGCAGGCGGCGUGCGUAAUACAUGCAAGUAGAACGCUGAAGGAAGGAGCUUGCUCUUUCAGGUGAGUUGCGAACGGGUGAGUAACGCGUAGGUAACCUGCCUGGUAGCGGGGGAUAACUAUUGGAAACGAUAGCUAAUACCGCAUAACAGUAGAUGUUGCAUGACAUCUGCUUGAAAGGGGCAAUUGCUCCACUACCAGAUGGACCUGCGUUGUAUUAGCUAGUUGGUGAGGUAACGGCUCACCAAGGCGACGAUACAUAGCCGACCUGAGAGGGUGAUCGGCCACACUGGGACUGAGACACGGCCCAGACUCCUACGGGAGGCAGCAGUAGGGAAUCUUCGGCAAUGGACGGAAGUCUGACCGAGCAACGCCGCGUGAGUGAAGAAGGUUUUCGGAUCGUAAAGCUCUGUUGUAAGAGAAGAACGAGUGUGAGAGUGGAAAGUUCACACUGUGACGGUAUCUUACCAGAAAGGGACGGCUAACUACGUGCCAGCAGCCGCGGUAAUACGUAGGUCCCGAGCGUUAUCCGGAUUUAUUGGGCGUAAAGCGAGCGCAGGCGGUUAGAUAAGUCUGAAGUUAAAGGCUGUGGCUUAACCAUAGUACGCUUUGGAAACUGUUUAACUUGAGUGCAAGAGGGGAGAGUGGAAUUCCAUGUGUAGCGGUGAAAUGCGUAGAUAUAUGGAGGAACACCGGUGGCGAAAGCGGCUCUCUGGCUUGUAACUGACGCUGAGGCUCGAAAGCGUGGGGAGCAAACAGG
rnacentral:rRNA from 1 species